ACGACCUUACUUGAACAGGAUUUGUUCUAUAGGCUCGUAUCUCUGUAUCCUUGAGUUCUAAGGAGACAGGAAACCAAGCUUGGUGGAUGAAUUUAUGGCCAAGAGAUUGGAGCGUGAUUAACAGCUCUAGUCCUUCAUUGGGAUGAGCUGUAGAGGAUCGUUCUCAGCCAUGGGUUCAUGGUUGGGGUGGUCUCUUGGCUGUCUGACAAGCU
rnacentral:snoRNA from 1 species